rnacentral:rRNA from 1 species
AGCAGCCGCGGUAAUUCCAGCUCCAAUAGCGUAUAUUAAAGUUGUUGCAGUUAAAAAGCUCGUAGUUGAAUUUCGGGGUCAGUAGGUUGGUCGUGCCACCGGUACGUACUGGUCUCACUGAUUCCUCCUUCCUGAAGAACCGUAAUGCCAUUAAUUUGGUGUUGCGGGGAAACAGGACUGUUACUUUGAAAAAAUUAGAGUGUUUAAAGCAGGCUAACGCUUGAAUACAUUAGCAUGGAAUAAUGAAAUAGGACGAUCGAUCCUAUUUUGUUGGUUUCUAGGAUUGACGUAAUGAUUAAUAGGGAUAGUUGGGGGCAUUAGUAUUCAAUUGUCAGAGGUGAAAUUCUUGGAUUUAUUGAAGACUAACUACUGCGAAAGCAUUUGCCAAGGAUGUUUUCAUUAAUCAAGAACGAAAGUUAGGGGAUCGAAGACGAUCAGAUACCGUCGUAGUCUUAACCAUAAACUAUGCCGACUAGGGAUCGGAUGAUGUAAUUUUUAAUGACUCAUUCGGCGCCUUACG